rnacentral:tRNA from 1 species
AAUGCUUAGAUGGAUUCUAAUUAAUCCCAUAAACA